rnacentral:lncRNA from 1 species
CUCAGAGAGGCAGCCCAUCGGGACGUCGGCUCAAACAGACAAAGAUUACAAGGAACCACCACCAGCGCCGUUGUUCGAGCCAGGUGAGCUGUCGUCAUGGUCUUUCUACAGAGCCGGAAUUGCGGAGUUCAUAGCGACUUUCUUGUUCUUGUACAUCUCUGUGUUGACGGUGAUGGGUGUCGUUAAGUCCCCCACAAAGUGUGGUACUGUGGGCAUUCAAGGGAUUGCUUGGGCUUUUGGGGGUAUGAUCUUUGCCCUUGUCUACUGCACAGCCGGUAUCUCAGGUAUAUAUUUCUAUUUUUCUACAACAACCAACCCUUGUUUUUUUUGGUUAAUCUUUCUCACUACUGUUUCGUUUAUAUCUGUUUAUACUCGGUAAAAAACUGUUAAGCUCCAUAAUUUGAAAAAAAAAGCUAAGAUAUGCACCAAUUAUCUUUUAGAUCUAUAUGAAAUUUCGAUGAUUUGUGAACAAUUCGUGUUAAUUUUUGAGUUAAACUUAAAUCUUGGUCAAGAAUCAUGCUAUGUAGGUAAAUUUUGUUAUUUGUUUCAGUUUCAAGCUUUAGGGUGUUCCUCUUGAUGUAUGUAAAACUCAACACAAAAAGUGCGUACGCUAUUCAUGUUUUAUGCUAAAGUCACAAUCUUGAGUUAGAAUUAUGAGUUGUGAGAUAGAAAAUCACUAAAACAAGUGUAUUUUUGUUGUUCUUCUUCAGUUUGGUACUUUGGUAGUGUUUGUAACCUUCUAGGAAAUCUACCAACUUUACACGUUUCAGGGUUUUAUUCCUCCACGUCUAUGUGAAAUUCAACAAUUUUUUUAGUAGUUAUUACAAACCCUAUUCAUCUUUUGAGUUAAAUCUUGACUAAAAAAAUAAUUUCACAAUCUGGUUGUUUAAUUUGGUACUUUGGUAGUGUUUAUUAGAUUCGUGUAUAUACCUCAAACGGCAUGGGGUUUUCAAGAUUCUAACCAAUUAUCUUUUGUUUCCUUUUACAUCUCUUUUUGGUUUUCUAAAAACCCUGUUUGUUCAUUCCCAUGGGUUCUUGAAGAAUUAAUUAUUUUUCUAUUUUUUUUUAUUAAAUAUGUUGUAAUUGUUUUGGUGUAAAACAGGAGGACACAUCAACCCAGCUGUGACCUUUGGUUUGCUACUGGCGAGGAAACUUUCAUUGACAAGAGCCGUGUUCUACAUGGUGAUGCAAUGUCUCGGAGCCAUCUGUGGUGCCGGUGUGGUGAAAGGUUUCCAGGGUAAGAACCAGUACACCGCCUUGGGUGGCGGAGCCAAUGUUGUAGCCCACGGCUACACCAAGGGUGAUGGUCUUGGUGCUGAGAUCGUUGGGACCUUUGUGCUUGUCUACACUGUCUUCUCUGCCACCGAUGCCAAAAGAAGCGCUAGAGACUCACAUGUCCCUGUAUGUUUUUUUUACUCUUCCUCCUCUCUCUCUAUAUAGCUACUGAAAUGUCUAAAAUACCCAUAAAGAAAGAAGAAAAAAAUAGUGUACGAUCGGAUGUGGGGAAUGAUGGAAGAGACUAGAGAGUAGGUAGUAGGGUAGGUAUUAUCUAUUAUGUCUCUUUCCUCUUUUGUCUUUUGCAUAAGCAUGUGGAGAUGAUAUGCUUCCAUGUGCAAUUUAUGUGGCCAAGGUUUCUCAAUUUAUGAUUGGGGUGGGGGCAGUUAAAGUUGAACAUGUGAGGGCGUUUUGGUAAUUUUUAGUUACACAUAAAAAAAAGGAAUAGGAACUAGGUGAUAUCUCAUGCGGUAAAAGUGAAACUUGUACAUUGGAUUCUGUAGUGUACACCAAUAACAAAGAAGACCACCUUCUUCUGUUUGACCAUUUUUAGUUGACUUUUACUUUUUGAUUUGAAUGCAGAUCUUGGCUCCUCUCCCAAUUGGGUUUGCGGUGUUCUUGGUCCAUUUGGCCACCAUCCCCAUCACUGGAACUGGUAUCAACCCUGCAAGAAGUCUUGGGGCUGCCAUCAUCU